CUCUCUCUCCCUCUCUUUGUCUGUCCAUCCGUCUCCCCCCCCCCUCCUCACGAGUGGCUGUUUUUGUGGAUUGAUCUCCCGCUGUUGUCAUAGCGACAGUGAUGCAGACCGCCCGAAGUGUGUGUGUGUGUGUGUGUGUGUGUGUGUGUGUGUGUGUGUGUGUGUGUGUGUGUGUGUGUGUGUGUGUGUGUGUGUGUGUGUGUGUGUUGGUUGGGUCUCUUUAAAAAUGGUCUUUUUCUUUGCUCUCAGAGCUUUGGGAGAAAGGUCAUGAAAAUGUUGCAGAGGAUUAAAAAGGUGAUAAUUUUGAGGAAUUAGUUUGUGUCUGUGUGUCGGUCAGGACUUAAAAGCGAAUGGCUGGUUGGUUACAGAGAGAGUGGUGGACUUGCUUUGGAUUUGAGUAUAAUGAGUCUAUAUUUAAAGCCGUGUGUGCGAGCUUGUGCCUGUGUGUUUUAGAAAGUGACUCAUCAUUUGUAUUUGUGCACGUACAGUAACCCAACACCCAACCCAACCCAGCGGAGGACCGGACCAACACUCAUUAUUCUCUCUACCUCUCACUGGGCCUGCCUUCUUUCAUUCUUGCUUAUGAAUGUUCAUUUCUCGCUUUUGCUUUUUUUUUGUUGUCUUUUUAUAUACUUCUUUCCUUUCGAGCUUUCUACCCCACGUUGUUCUCUUUCAUCCCUCUAAAAUGUCUUUUGUACUUACUCGUCUUUACUUACUCACCUCUCUCCGUGCAGCCACUGUUGCAGUCGUGUGUCGUAUGCGGUUAAACCCAAAAAGGAUCGUGUGUCUCAGCGAAACCACUUUGUCACUUCCCCCUCAGCUCCAGGUCAUGCGAGGUCACCUCAGCCUCCAUUGUGACUCCAAUACUAUGUUCAGUUGCACUGAAUGUGAGGAUGCAAUACACACACACAGUCUGACUGCACUCUGUACGUAACAGCUUACAUGUGAAGUCAUUGACCUUGUGGUUUUAAUUCUUACACAUUUUGGAUUUUCUGUUGUUAGAGUGAUCUUGCUUUUUCUAAGCAGGUGGAUGUUAUUACUCUCGAGCAAGAUUUUAAUUAAUACUUCACCAUUCGUGACUGCAAAUCAAGUUGAUUUUGACAAAACAAGAAAAGAACAAAAACAUUAAAAGAAACGGAAAAGGCCAUUCUGUGAAAUAAAGGAGGAAAUAGUCCAAUGAGCACUUCUUCGUAUUUGGCGGCUCCUUAUUGUCCCUUUCACACAUACAGUAUAUCCCUGAAAUGUUCAGGAACAUUUCCUGCAUGGGGUCAUGUGUGAAUGGGAGUAGGGAUAGAUAUUUAGGGAAUUCUGUACCGCCAAUCUCUCACCUGAAGACAUUUCAGGGAAAAAUGGUACGGCUGUGUUUUGAAUGAGAGAAGUAAGAUUCAGAAGAUUCGAAAGACGAUUCCGCAUUGCGAACCAAUUACAAUUCUCCACUGCUGUCCUAUUUGAAUCUAGACUUGUUUACGGUUUAGCAUUUACACCAAUGCUUAUGCGGGUGAUUUAAUAAUAAAGUCACAAGAACAUUGGCAACAGCUCCUUCGGGUCG